UAUGAAUAGGGUUCAUCUUCUGAAUAAUUAAUACUAAACCAGCUUUACUUCCCGAAACAGAAAGGACCUCUCGUGGCUCUCCUUGGGCUCUGUGCCCUCGCCUUGACCUUUGGUGAGGAUCAGUGUUCCAGUGCAAUACUCAUCUCAGUGCCCUGCAGUUGACCCAUCCACGCCCGUGUACCUGGCCGUUCCAGAGAACUGCCUGGAAUACUGCGAGUGUUCCAACGGCGUCGCCUGGCUCUUCCACUGCGAUGUCGAACAGGCCUGGGACGACACCCAGAAGCGCUGCGACUUCAUAGACAACGUAGACUGCGGUGGUCGUCCCAUUCCUCCGCCGUCAUAAGGGUCGUUCUUGCUGCGACAGAUGAAGUGACCGAUGAACUGGUGGACGCUCUACCAUCGAAAAAAAAAAAAAAAAAAAAAAAAAAAAAAAAAAAAAAUAGUAUAUGACUUCAAUCAAUUCUGGUCAGGGUGGGACGCCAAAAAUGGCAAUAUCUUGUUAUUUUCCCGUUUCUUGUUCCUAUCUUCGUUUGUGUUAUAAAAACAGGUCACUCAAGGCUUCUAUUUCAUUUAACAAGAUGUUAAUUCAGUAUAGGAUACAAAUCCAGACUAAUAUAAUAAAAGCAGCAGUGAAGUUUCGAAAUAA